rnacentral:rRNA from 1 species
GACAGAGGGUGCAAACGUUGUUCGGAAUUACUGGGCGUAAAGCGUGUGUAGGCGGCUAGGUAAGCCGGAUGUGAAAGCCCUGGGCUCAACCCAGGAAGUGCACUCGAUACUGCUUAGCUCGAGUACCGGAGAGGUUGGUGGAAUUCUCGGUGUAGAGGUGAAAUUCGUAGAUAUCGAGAGGAACACCGGUGGCGAAGGCGGCCAACUGGACGAGUACUGACGCUGAGACACGAAAGCGUGGGGAGCAAACAGG